rnacentral:rRNA from 1 species
AGAAUCAACGCUGGCGGCGUGCCUAACACAUGCAAGUCGCACGAGAAAGUGGAGCAAUCCAUGAGUACAGUGGCGCACGGGUGAGUAACACGUGAAUAAUCUACCUCCGAGUGGGGAAUAACCUAGAGAAAUCUGGGCUAAUACCGCAUAACACUUACGAGUCAAAGCAGCAAUGCGCUUGGAGAGGAGUUCGCGGCCGAUUAGCUAGUUGGCGGGGUAAUGGCCCACCAAGGCGAUGAUCGGUAUCCGGCCUGAGAGGGCGCACGGACACACUGGAACUGAAACACGGUCCAGACUCCUACGGGAGGCAGCAGUGGGGAAUUUUGCGCAAUGGGGGAAACCCUGACGCAGCAACGCCGCGUGGAGGAUGAAAUCCCUUGGGAUGUAAACUCCUUUCGAUAGGGAAGAUAAUGACGGUACCUAUAGAAGAAGCCCCGGCUAACUUCGUGCCAGCAGCCGC